UACGUAGGGUGCGAGCGUUGUCCGGAAUUAUUGGGCGUAAAGAGCUCGUAGGCGGUCUGUCGCGUCGGUCGUGAAAACUUGGGGCUUAACCCUGAGCUUGCGGUCGAUACGGGCAUGACUGGAGUUCGGCAGGGGAGACUGGAAUUCCUGGUGUAGCGGUGAAAUGCGCAGAUAUCAGGAGGAACACCGGUGGCGAAGGCGGGUCUCUGGGCCGUAACUGACGCUGAGGAGCGAAAGCGUGGGGAGCGAACAGG
rnacentral:rRNA from 1 species